GAGAAGCAUAAAAAGAUGGAAGACUAUAGAUGAAGAAUAUUAAAUAAUCUUCCACAUUUAGCCAUUGUGUUGGGGAAAGUACAGUCAUUUAAUAAAAUAGAAGAAUUCCAAGCAUUUGUAAAGAAAAGACCAGACCUGAACAGAAAAUUUGAUGCCCAAACACAGAGCCCAAGAGAAUCAUUAAAAGGUACUGGACAAUACAGCAAUGAUCCCAAUCCUUAUAGUAUAACAGAAGAUAAAAUAUUGGGAAUAAUGACAUAAUAGAACAUGAUAAAAGAAUAGAUGAACAACAUUUUAUGAAUAAAAAUCUAAGGAAAAAAAGAUCA
rnacentral:lncRNA from 1 species